ACGGGAGGCAGCAGUGGGGAAUAUUGCACAAUGGGGGAAACCCUGAUGCAGCGACGCCGCGUGAAGGAAGAAGUAUCUCGGUAUGUAAACUUCUAUCAGCAGGGAAGAUAAUGACGGUACCUGACUAAGAAGCCCCGGCUAACUACGUGCCAGCAGCCGCGGUAAUACGUAGGGGGCAAGCGUUAUCCGGAUUUACUGGGUGUAAAGGGAGCGUAGACGGAAUGGCAAGUCUGGUGUGAAAGGCAUGGGCUCAACCUGUGGACUGCACUGGAAACUGUCGUUCUUGAGUGCCGGAGGGGUAAGCGGAAUUCCUAGUGUAGCGGUGAAAUGCGUAGAUAUUAGGAGGAACACCAGUGGCGAAGGCGGUUAGCUGGACAAUAACUGACGCUGAGGCGCGAAAGCGUGGGUAGCAAACAGGAUUAGAUACCCUGGUA
rnacentral:rRNA from 1 species